UCAAUUGUCUUAUAAUUGAAGACUGGAAUGAAUGGUUGAACGAAAUUAAAACUGUUUCAUUUGUAUUAAUUAGAAAUUGGUUUUUAAAUGAAGAGAUUUAAAUUUAAUUAAUAGACAAGAAGACCCUAUUGAGCUUUAAAUAACUUUAAAAUUAAAAAUUUAUUAUUAGAGAUUUAAGUUUUAAAUGUUUUUUAGUUGGGGCGACUAAGGAACAGGAGAAGCUUCCUUUAUUUGUUAAAUUGAUGAAUUUUGAUCCAGUAUUGAACUGAUUAAUAGAGAUAGUUACCAUAGGGAUAACAGCAUAAUCUUCUUGGAGAGUUCUUAUCAAAAAGGAGGGUUGUGACCUCGAUGUUGGAUUAAAAUAUCCUAAGGGUGUAGAGGC
rnacentral:rRNA from 1 species